rnacentral:tRNA from 1 species
CAUUAAGAAGCUAUGUACCAGCACUAGCCUUUUAAGCUAGAGAAAGAGGAAAUACUCCUCCUUAAUGA